UUUUUUUCGUUUCAAUGCAAU
rnacentral:piRNA from 1 species